UACGGGGGGAGCAAGCGUUGUUCGGAUUUACUGGGCGUAAAGGGCGCGUAGGCGGUAGCACAAGUCAGUUGUGAAAUCUCCGGGCUUAACUCGGAAAGGUCAACUGAUACUGUGCGACUAGAGUGCAGAAGGGGCAACUGGAAUUCUCGGUGUAGCGGUGAAAUGCGUAGAUAUCGAGAGGAACACCUGCGGCGAAGGCGGGUUGCUGGGCUGACACUGACGCUGAGGCACGAAAGCCAGGGGAGCGAACGGG
rnacentral:rRNA from 1 species